rnacentral:rRNA from 1 species
UACGUAGGGUCCAAGCGUUAUCCGGAUUUACUGGGUGUAAAGGGCGAGUAGACGGCAUAGCAAGUCAGAUGUGAAAACUUAGGGCUCAACCUUAAGCGUGCAUCUGAAACUGUUAAGCUAGAGUGCAGAAGAGGUAAGCGGAAUUCCUAGUGUAGCGGUGGAAUGCGUAGAUAUUAGGAAGAACACCAGUGGCGAAGGCGGCUUACUGGGCUGUAACUGACGUUGAGGAGCGAAAGUGUGGGGAG